GCCACAGGAGACCGGGGCUUGUGUUGAGCACAGUCACGCAGUGUAAGCAAAAAGUUACUUUUAAACGAUUACUUUAUAUUAUUUCAUGCAUUUGUCACAAAAGAACCUACUAUAAUAUUUGCCUCAACAACAAAAAUGUGUCGACUAAAUAAAGUUACUGUCAAGUCUAAAAUAGGCUACUUGUAGAAUGUAAAAAAAAAAAAACUUCUGACUUUUAAGUCACCGGACAGAAUGGUUGAGUGUUUGCAGUUGUUUUGGUGUGGUCUUGUUAAAGCUCUCACAUGAUGAACUCUCUACCCCCUGUGAAAGGAAACAGGAUCAUCUGUGAACUCCCUUUGUACUUUACAAGGGACGCUGCAGUGCACACCAAAUAUGGCUUCAACAUUACCGUUAAAGAUGCAUGUCAAGGACAGAAAACAGGGCAAGUUACUCUUUUUCUCUCUUUCACAUACAAACAUUUGUUUUGC
rnacentral:lncRNA from 1 species